CCUUUUCUUCUGCUCCGUGUCCCCAGGUAUCAAGUGUUAGCAGCCCUCAGAUGCUGAGACCUAAAGUGUGGAGAUCUAAGUAGGUGGAGGCAUUAUCCAAUGGCAAUUGUUACACCUUUGGUAGACAAUUUUUAUUUUGCCACUAUAGCUUUUAUCGUUCAAUUCUUUUACUUAAAGAGUUCAAGAUUUGUUUUGCUCAGAAUUUCUGAGUUGGCUAUAUGGAAUUAAUUGAUGGUGUUAUGUAGUGUUGAAAGCUUCUGUCACAGAACUCAGUGCCCUUCAGUUGUUCAUUCAGUCUACCUCCUUCUGUUGGGCUGACUUUUCGAUGCAUCUCUGUCUUGUGGUCAGAAUGCAGAGCAGUGAGGCCCAGGCUGUGUCAGGGAGAAAUAGCCUUGUUUCUUUACUUACUCAUGAUGUUUUGUUUUAUAUUUAAAGAACAGCAAGAAAACAUUUAAGACCUUAUUUUUUGCAUAUUGAUUUCCUGGCUAGUUUGUCUCUCCUACUGCAUUCCUAAACAUUUCAUCCUAGGGUUAAUACAAAAGGAAGGAAAAGAAUGGCAGAGGGGCCUCACCAUAUUUUCUGUGAUUUUCAACACUAGAGAUUGUUUUGUUUUUCAUGUCAACUUUCCUGGAAGGCAAAACUUGAUAGUUGUUUGUGGACAAAAAUAAAACAAAAAUAAUUUUGAAUGUCAUGAAAGAGAAUAUAGACAAAUGUCUUUUUUGCUGACAGUAUGGCAAGUGUAAGUUGAAGAAAGGUCAACGAAAAAAUGGAAGGAAACAUACUAUUUGAAAGUUGUCAAACAGUCUCAAAGACAGCCAUGUGCAUGUGCUAAGUUGCUUCAGUCAUGUCUGACUUUGUGACCCUGUGGACAGGCUCCCCUGUCCAUGGGAUUCUCCAGGCAAGAAUACCUGAGUGGGUUGCUAUUUCCUCCUCCAAUUAUCUUCCCGUCCCAGGGGUUAAACCGUGGACUCUUAUGUCUCCUGGAUUGGCAGGCAAGUUCUUUACCACUGAUGUCACCUGGGAAGCCUCCACAAAGAUGGCCAGGACAUUCAUUCAGGUUCCUGAGGUUACAUUUCACUGGGACCACAGGUCAUGAGAAAUGGAGUGUUUCCUGCCAUAUCAGUAAACCAGGAUGACAAAGUCAUCAGUUUCCAGCCCUCCAGGGUGCUCAGGAAGGAGGAAUAUACCCCUGGUCUGACAGCUAUCAGAUUGGAGCCACUCCCUAAGGUGAGCCCAAGGGAACUCAGGAUGUGAAAAAUGCAAGGCUCAUGGCCCCAGGAUAGGUGAGAUGCAUGAAAAGAAUGAUUUCAGUGAGCACACACUCUUGCAUCUUCCCAUACAUAGCAAAGUGCUAAAUUCCUUUACUUGAGAUAUCUGGUUUUCUCUACUUCACAAAAAUACUUUUGAGGUUCCGACUACCUGCCUGUACUGCAAACUUCUAUACAACCUGACUCCCCCUCUCCCCCCACCCCCCAGCUCCUUGGAGCACUUCUCUCAGGGUGACUUGAAAUACUGUCUCCUGAAUUCCCACCAAAUAAAACAUAACUCUCAACAUUUAGGUUGUGGCA
ensembl:lncRNA